rnacentral:rRNA from 1 species
UACGGAGGAUGCAAGCGUUAUCCGGAAUGAUUGGGCGUAAAGCGUCCGCAGGUGGCAAUGUAAGUCUGCUGUUAAAGAGUCUAGCUCAACUAGAUAAAAGCAGUGGAAACUACAUAGCUAGAGUACGUUCGGGGCAGAGGGAAUUCCUGGUGUAGCGGUGAAAUGCGUAGAGAUCGGCAGGAACACCCAGGGGGAAACCAGCCGACUGGGCAUCUACUGACGCUGAGGUGCGAGAGCGUGGGGAGCGAACCGG